CAAGGAAUUGACGGGACCGCACAAGCGGUGGAUGAUGUGGUUUAAUUCGAUGCAACGCGAAAACCUUACCACCUUGACAUGUACGGAAUCCUUUAGAGAUAGAGGAGUGCUCGAAAGAGAGCCGUAACACAGGUGCUGCAUGGCUGUCGUCAGCUCGUGUCGUGAGAUGUUGGGUUAAGUCCCGCAACGAGCGCAACCCUUGUCAUUAGUUGCUACAUUCAGUUGGGCACUCUAAUGAGACUGCCGGUGACAAACCGGAGGAAGGUGGGGAUGACGUCAAGUCCUCAUGGCCCUUAUAGGUGGGGCUACACACGUCAUACAAUGGAUGGUACAAAGGGUCGCCAACCCGCGAGGGGGAGCCAAUCCCAUAAAGCCAUUCGUAGUCCGGAUCGCAGUCUGCAACUCGACUGCGUGAAGUCGGAAUCGCUAGUAAUCGUGGAUCAGAAUGUCACGGUGAAUACGUUCCCGGGUCUU
rnacentral:rRNA from 1 species